UGGGGAAUUUUGGACAAUGUGCGCAAGCCUGAUCCAGCCAUGCCGCGUGCAGGAUGAAGGCCUUCGGGUUGUAAACUGCUUUUGUACGGAACGAAAAGACUCUGGUUAAUACCUGGGGUCCAUGACGGUACCGUAAGAAUAAGCACCGGCUAACUACAUGCCAGCAGCCGCGGUAAUACGUAGGGUGCGAGCGUUAAUCGGAAUUACUGGGCGUAAAGCGUGCGCAGGCGGUUAUGUAAGACAGAUGUGAAAUCCCCGGGCUCAACCUGGGAACUGCAUUUGUGACUGCAUAGCUGGAGUGCGGCAGAGGGGGAUGGAAUUACGCGUGUAGCGGUGAAAUGCGUAGAUAUGCGGAGGAACACCGAUGGCGAAGGCAAUCCCCUGGGCCUGCACUGACGCUCAUGCACGAAAGCGUGGGGAGCAAACA
rnacentral:rRNA from 1 species